rnacentral:rRNA from 1 species
UACGUAGGGUGCGAGCGUUGUCCGGAAUUACUGGGCGUAAAGAGCUCGUAGGUGGUUUGUCGCGUUGUUCGUGAAAUCUCACGGCUUAACUGUGAGCGUGCGGGCGAUACGGGCAGACUAGAGUACUGCAGGGGGAGACUGGAAUCCUGGUGUAGCGGUGGAAUGCGCAGAUAUCAGGAGGAACACCGGUGGCGAAGGCGGGUCUCUGGGCAGUAACUGACGCUGAGGAGCGAAAGCGUGGGGAGCGAACAGG